GAUGAACGCUGGCGGCGUGCCUAAUACAUGCCAGUCGAGCGAACGGACGAGAAGCUUGCUUCUCUGAUGUUAGCGGCGGACGGGUGAGUAACACGUGGAUAACCUACCUAUAAGACUGGGAUAACUUCGGGAAACCGUAGCUAAUACCGGAUAAUAUUUUGAACCGCAUGGUUCAAAAGUGAAAGGCGGUCUUGCUGUCACUUAUAGAUGGAUCCGCGCUGCAUUAGCUAGUUGGUAAGGUAACGGCUUACCAAGGCAACGAUGCAUAGCCGACCUGAGAGGGUGAUCGGCCACACUGGAACUGAGACACGGUCCAGACUCCUACGGGAGGCAGCAGUAGGGAAUCUUCCGCAAUGGGCGAAAGCCUGACGGAGCAACGCCGCGUGAGUGAUGAAGGUCUUCGGAUCGUAAAACUCUGUUAUUAGGGAAGAACAUAUGUGUAAGUAACUGUGCACAUCUUGACGGUACCUAAACAGAAAGCCACGGCUAACUACGUG
rnacentral:rRNA from 1 species